rnacentral:sRNA from 2 species
GACGCGUUUGCGCCGAAGGCAGGAGCGGGGGACCCAAGGUAGGUGCCGCGGUGGCCCGGGGACGGGCCGGUGCGGCUAGGGGUGAAGCCGGGUGCGGGGAACCGUGCACGGCCGGGCAACUCACGCCCGAACCCGACAGCUCACCUCGUAGGCGUCGGUGAGGAACGAA